AUACCUUUCUCGGCCUUUUGGCUAAGAUCAAGUGUAGUAUCUGUUCUUAUCAGUUUAAUAUCUGAUAUGUGGGAUAUAUGCCCACAAUGAUAUUAAAAUUAUUUUUUGUGGGGAGAAUCAAAUAUGGUAGCUUGCUACUAAGGUUCUUGUGUCACCCUAGUGUUGCACUAUUGCUUGGGCUAUAGGCACACCCCCA
rfam:Sorghum bicolor cultivar BTx623 chromosome 1, whole genome shotgun sequence.